rnacentral:lncRNA from 1 species
GUGGAUGUUCGGAGUUCUGAUUGUAGCCAUGCACGCACCCAAUCUCAGCUGGUAUCCACACGAAGAUGUCUGAUCAGAGCAUCAAAAUCAUCGGUAUACUAGCACCUUGCAGAUCUCACUCCUCAGCUUUGGAUCUAGAUAUCUUCUUCUAGAUCUCAAAGAAGGAGAUCGCUGUGCGAACUCUUUCGCACAGAUCCGAUGGAAUCUGAACCAGAUCACCAUGAAAAAAAGAAGAACCCUUUUUCUUCUUUUUUUCUCUCUCUUUUUUAUUCUUAAAUCUAAUCUCUAUCAGAUCUGGGCAUUGGAUGAAG